AUACUGGUUCAUUGAGUCUGAUGUUUCUGUUCUUACAGAUGGAAGUCCUCCAGCGUCUGAAGGUUUGUCUCAAAUCUCCUACCAGAGAGCCUUGAAACUGGAUGGCCAUAGCACCCAGUAUCUUGAGAGCCAUUAUGGUACAAUGACUAGAAUGAAGGGUGACUUGAGAGAUACAGGAAAUAUCUGAAUCUGGCUGAGCUAAAACCUGGAUAGAACAGGCUCCUUGGUGCAAUGCAACAGCCCAGCAACAUAUGGAUGGACAUCACAUAUUGCCCAGCCCUGGAGCAACAUUAUGGAGAAGACAUCAAGAGUCAGAUAACAGAGAAUCAUCAGACAAGCAAGCCAUGGCAUGAGUUCUUCCAAAGUGGUUUACUCACCAACUGACCUCCGGAUCUUGGUGUACUCAGCACCUCCAUCCAGU